rnacentral:rRNA from 1 species
AUUGAACUCUGGCGGCAGGCUUAACACCUGCAAGUCGAACGAGUGGCGGACUGGUGAGUAAUGCUUGGGAAUCUAGCUUAUGGAGGGGGAUAACUACGGGAAACUGUCGCUAAUACCGCGUACCAUAGGCUGAGCCCAAGUGGGAUUAGGUAGUUGGUGAGGUAAAGGCUCACCACGCCGACGAUCUCUAGCUGGUCUGAGAGGAUGACCAGCCACACUGGGACUGAGACACGGCCAAGACUCCUACGGGAGGCAGCAGUGGGGAAUAUUGCGCAAUGGGGGCAACCUGACGCAGCCAUGCCGCGUGAAUGAAGAAGGCCUUCGGGUUGUAAAGUUCUUUCGGUAGCGAGGCGUUAACUACAGAAGAAGCACCGGCUAACUCCGUGCCAGCAGCCGCGGUAAUUC